rnacentral:lncRNA from 1 species
CUUUUUUUUUUUUUUUUUUUUUUUUUUGACUUAAAUUGCCUAAUGAUGGUAAACCUAAGUCAUCAGUUUAAUAUCUAAUUUUUUAAAAGAUUAUUUAUUGAAACAGUAUUGGAUGAAAUAGAAUCUGAAAAUGUGUGGGGGUUUUGAGAUGCCUUUUUGCCAUUUCAUUAAGAAAUUUAACAGAAAUAAGCUUUUUGUGUGGCAAAACUUAUUCAAAUUGGGCCUCAAUUCUUUGAAUCAUGAUUUUUUUAGGUGUAAAACUUGGUUUCAUUUCUAAAGGGUUAUUUUAGAGAUUUACAAACGAAAAUGAACUGCCUGGAAUAAAAAACUUGGUUUCAUUUCUAAAGGCUUAUUUUAGAGAUUUACAAAAGAAAAUGAACUGCCUGGAAUAAAAAACUUGGUUUCAUUUCUAAAGGCUUAUUUUAGAGAUUUACAAAAGAAAAUGAACUGCCUGGAAUAAAAGACUUAAUUUUGCUCAUGUUGCCUUUCCAAGGAGGAUUAAUUGAAGUAACAGAAUCCUGCCUUACGUAUACCUCUUACAUAGAAACCUCAGUGGCCCUCCAGUGUUUGCCCUUACCCUAUCCCCUCAAAUGCCACCCUGUACACGAGCCUUCCCACCUAAUUUUCAGGGUUUCUCCCCUUCCUUCCACUCUUCCUUUAACUGCUGCCUGAAGUCAUCUCCAGGCUCCCUCUUGUUGUCUACAGAUACAUGAUUAUAAACUUGGCAAAUGCAGUGAGGAAAAAAACUACCUGAGAGUCUAACGGAGAGACCUAAUAUAAUUAAGAUUUAAGGAAGGUGCCUGUAAAGAAUCGAUGUUUGAGUCAGGAUCUAAAGGAUGGAAAAGUAGGUGGGCAGCUGAGGACUGGAGGGAAGAAUGCUCCUGACAAGAGGACAGCGUGUGUGAGGGCCCAGCAGUGGGAAAGCUAGGCUAGUCCAAGAUGUUGAAAGAAGGCCCAUCCUGAUUUAUAUCGGGGGCUGUCCCAAAAUGAGGCAGCAUUCCUUUACAGAUGAAUGUCUUCGAGACCAUGUUCUGUAUCCUAAGUGCACUGGAGCCCAGUGGAGGGUGUUAAGGGGGUAGUGACAUGACUCAGGUCCGCAUUUCUGAAAGCUUAAUCUGGCUGCGAUUGGAAAAUUCAUUGAGGGAGAGUAAGAAUGGAAGCAGGGGACAAGCAAAGUGAGUUUAUGGACUGGUGCCACUGAGUGGUGAUGGUGACUGAAGCAGCAGGAUGGUGCCAAAUGCAGGAGGUAAGAAGUGGACCUAUUUGAAAUUGAUGUUUUCUAGGUAAAAUAGAAAGGACUUAGUGAUGUGUAUUGAGCACAGUGGGUAAAAGAGAAGGGGAGAUGGCAUGGAUCACUAGGUGGAUUUACUGAAAUGGCAAAGAUUGGCAGUAAAAGAGCAGUGAUGUUCAGCCUUAGAUGUGGGACGUUAGAGAGUGCCAGUGACACAUGCAGGUGAAGAUUUCUAAUAAGCAGUAGAAUCCAUGAGUGAUGAGAGACAGCUGAACUACCGAUAGCUGGGGGGUGGAAGUGAGUAGGGCUCUGGACUGUACUCUACAGAACCUUGAAGUUUAGAAGUUGGGUAAAAAAAAACCUGUAAGUGAAAAGGAAAAAAAAAAAA